CGGCAACAGCUCAAAUUUGAAAUCUGGCCUCUUUGGGGUCCGAGUUGUAAUUUGUAGAGGAUGUUUCGGGUACCGCCUCGGUUUAAAUUUCUUGGAACAGAAUGUCAAAGAGGGUGAGAAUCCCGUCUUGGACCGGCGGUAGGGCCCAUGUGAAACUCCUUCGACGAGUCGAGUUGUUUGGGAAUGCAGCUCAAAAUGGGUGGUAAAUUUCAUCUAAAGCUAAAUAUUGGCCAGAGACCGAUAGCGCACAAGUAGAGUGAUCGAAAGAUGAAAAGCACUUUGAAAAGAGAGUUAAACAGUAUGUGAAAUUGUUGAAAGGGAAGCGCUUACAACCAGACUUGCGCGCGGCGGUUCCCCCUUCCUUUUGGUUGGGCUACUCCGUCGUGU
rnacentral:rRNA from 1 species